rnacentral:rRNA from 1 species
UACGAAGGGUGCUAGCGUUGUUCGGAAUCACUGGGCGUAAAGCGUGCGUAGGCGGCUAGGUAAGUCGAUUGUGAAAGCCCCGGGCUUAACUCGGGAAUUGCAAUCGAAACUACUUAGCUAGAGUAAGAUAGAGGACAGUGGAAUUCCUAGUGUAGGGGUGAAAUCCGUAGAUACUAGGAGGAACACCAGAAGCGAAGGCGACUGUCUGGGUCUUUACUGACGCUGAGGUACGAAAGCGUGGGGAGCAAACAGG